rnacentral:rRNA from 1 species
AGAACGCAGCAAAAUGCGAUAAGUAAUGUGAAUUGCAGAAUUCAGUGAAUCAUCGAAUCUUUGAACGCACAUUGCGCCCGCCAGUAUUCUGGCGGGCAUGCCUGUUCGAGCGUCAUUUCAACCCUCAAGCUCAGCUUGGUGUUGGGACUCGCGGUAACCCGCGUUCCCCAAAUCGAUUGGCGGUCACGUCGAGCUUCCAUAGCGUAGUAAUCAUACACCUCGUUACUGGUAAUCGUCGCGGCCACGCCGUAAAACCCCAACUUCUGAAUGUUGACCUCGGAUCAGGUAGGAAUACCCGCUGAACUUAAGCAUAUCAAUAAGCGGAGGA